rnacentral:ncRNA from 1 species
GAGACUGCGAUGACAGGGAGAAGUACCGUCUUAUGUCCCGCCCAGAGAGCCCCCGGCUUGGUGUGAGGGGGAGGGGACAGGCCGGGAAAUACACCCUGGAGCAGCCGCCCGAACCGCGUGAAGGCGCGCAGUAGGGCUGUGUCGGGUGCGCCCGUUACCGCGCCGGAGUGUGUUGGCACUCCAUGAGGCUGUCUCCGUGAGGGGAUGGUGAACCAGAGGUGGUACCGCGUUUGACAACGCCCUCUGU